AACCUGCUGCGAGAGCCUCAUUUGCAUAUCAGGUAGUCGGGACGAGUCCGAGCAAGCAAGCAAGACGGCGACCGUCACACUCGUCCGCUGAAAGGACUCCGUGAGGUUGCCGCCACGCCCGAGCUCGGUUUACAAUCCGCUUACGUCAGCAGCUCCAAGUCGUAACCGAGACAUUUACAUACUGGGCGGCACGGUGGACGACUGGUUAGAGCCCCGUGCCUGCGUGGAUCUUCUCCGGGCACUCCGGUUUCCUCCCACAUCCCAAAGACAUGCAUGUUAAGGGUGUACCCCGCCUCCUGCCCCAUGACAGCUGCGAUAGGCUCCAGCACGCCCGUGACCCGUGUGAGGAAAAGCGGCUCAGAAAAUGGAUGGAUGGAUUUACAUACUGUUCAGGUGUAAAGUGCCUAAUCUUGUCCAACUUCCAACAUAUUGGCAUUAAUCUCCAUCAUAAUCGAAGUGACAAACCAAAAUUCACCUUUUAAAUGUUUAUCUUCCACUCAAAGGUUGUGCUGAUCUCCAAUCCAAAGUGAUGCAACAGCAUCAUCUGCAGGGAUUAGAUAGUCAUCACAGUGGUUUACAAACCCGUAUUUCACAGACAAGCUGGACGAGACCCUCCUUCACGCCGACCUCUUGA